GACGAACGCUGGCGGCGUGCUUAACACAUGCAAGUCGAACGGAAAGGCCCUGCUUUUGUGGGGUGCUCGAGUGGCGAACGGGUGAGUAACACGUGAGUAACCUGCCCUUGACUUUGGGAUAACUUCAGGAAACUGGGGCUAAUACCGGAUAGGAGCUCCUGCUGCAUGGUGGGGGUUGGAAAGUUUCGGCGGUUGGGGAUGGACUCGCGGCUUAUCAGCUUGUUGGUGGGGUAGUGGCUUAUCAAGGCUUUGACGGGUAGCCGGCCUGAGAGGGUGACCGGCCACAUUGGGACUGAGAUACGGCCCAGACUCCUACGGGAGGCAGCAGUGGGGAAUAUUGCACAAUGGGCGGAAGCCUGAUGCAGCAACGCCGCGUGCGGGAUGACGGCCUUCGGGCUGUAAACCGCUUUCGCCUGUGACGAAGCGUGAGUGACGGUAAUGGGUAAAGAAGCACCGGCUAACUACGUG
rnacentral:rRNA from 1 species